rnacentral:rRNA from 1 species
GCUAAAAAGCUAGCCUCCUCCCAAAAAACAACCAAUCAAUAUUUAUAACCCCGAAUAAAUUAAUUAUCUCAAAUUAAUAAACCAUUUUUCCUCUUUAGUAUAGGUGAUAGAAAAGGAACCACAGAGCAAUAGAGAAAGUACCGCAAGGGAACGCUGAAAGAGAAAUGAAACAACCCAGUUUAAGCCUAAAAAAGCAGAGAUUUUACCUCGUACCUUUUGCAUCAUGA